UACGAGGGGGGCAAAUGUUGUUCGGAAUCACUGGGCGUAAAGGGCGCGUAGGCGGGUUUCUAAGUCAGGUGUUUAAUCCCGGGGCCCAACCCCGGACAGGCACUUGAAACUGGGAAUCUUGAAUAGGGGAGAGGUCAGUGGAAUUGGAGGUGUAGCGGUGGAAUGCGUAGAGAUCUCCAAGAACACCAGUUGCGAAGGCGGGCUUCUGGUUGACUUCUGACGCUGAGGUGCGAAAGCUAGGGGAGCGAACGGG
rnacentral:rRNA from 1 species